UUGCUUGGCAGCAUGUACACUAAAAUUGGAACAAUACAGGGAAGAUUAACAUGGCCCCUACACAAGGAUAACAUGCAAAUUUUCCCCAUAUUUUU
rnacentral:snRNA from 1 species